rnacentral:rRNA from 1 species
AGAGUUUGAUCCUGGCUCAGGAUGAACGCUGGCGGCGUGCCUAAUACAUGCAAGUCGAGCGAACUGAUUAGAAGCUUGCUUCUAUGACGUUAGCGGCGGACGGGUGAGUAACACGUGGGCAACCUGCCUGUAAGACUGGGAUAACUUCGGGAAACCGAAGCUAAUACCGGAUAGGAUCUUCUCCUUCGUGGGAGAUGAUUGAAAGAUGGUUUCGGCUAUCACUUACAGAUGGGCCCGCGGUGCAUUAGCUAGUUGGUGAGGUAACGGCUCACCAAGGCAACGAUGCAUAGCCGACCUGAGAGGGUGAUCGGCCACACUGGGACUGAGACACGGCCCAGACUCCUACGGGAGGCAGCAGUAGGGAAUCUUCCGCAAUGGACGAAAGUCUGACGGAGCAACGCCGCGUGAGUGAUGAAGGCUUUCGGGUCGUAAAACUCUGUUGUUAGGGAAGAACAAGUACAAGAGUAACUGCUUGUACCUUGACGGUACCUAACCAGAAAGCCACGGCUAACUACGUGCCAGCAGCCGCGGUAAUACGUAGGUGGCAAGCGUUAUCCGGAAUUAUUGGGCGUAAAGCGCGCGCAGGCGGUUUCUUAAGUCUGAUGUGAAAGCCCACGGCUCAACCGUGGAGGGUCAUUGGAAACUGGGGAACUUGAGUGCAGAAGAGAAAAGCGGAAUUCCACGUGUAGCGGUGAAAUGCGUAGAGAUGUGGAGGAACACCAGUGGCGAAGGCGGCUUUUUGGUCUGUAACUGACGCUGAGGCGCGAAAGCGUGGGGAGCAAACAGGAUUAGAUACCCUG